rnacentral:rRNA from 1 species
GACGAACGCUGGCGGCGUGCUUAACACAUGCAAGUCGAACGGAAAGGCCCUGCUUUUGUGGGGUGCUCGAGUGGCGAACGGGUGAGUAACACGUGAGUAACCUGCCCUUGACUUUGGGAUAACUUCAGGAAACUGGGGCAAAUACCGGAUAGGAGCUCCUGCUGAAUGGUGGGGGUUGGAAAGUUUCGGCGGUUGGGGAUGGACUCGCGGCUUAUCAGCUUGUUGGUGGGGUAGUGGCUUACCAAGGCUUUGACGGGUAGCCGGCCUGAGAGGGUGACCGGCCACAUUGGGACUGAGAUACGGCCCAGACUCCUACGGGAGGCAGCAGUGGGGAAUAUUGCACAAUGGGCGGAAGCCUGAUGCAGCAACGCCGCGUGCGGGAUGACGGCCUUCGGGUUGUAAACCGCUUUCGCCUGUGACGAAGCGUGAGUGACGGUAAUGGGUAAAGAAGCACCGGCUAACUACGUG